rnacentral:rRNA from 1 species
GACGGAGGAUGCAAGCGUUAUCCGGAAUGAUUGGGCGUAAAGCGUCCGUAGGUGGCAGUUCAAGUCUGCUGUCAAAGACCGGGGCUUAACCCCAGAAAGGCAGUGGAAACUGAAAGGCUAGAGGAUGGUAGGGGCAGAGGGAAUUCCCAGUGUAGCGGUGAAAUGCGUAGAGAUUGGGAAGAACACCGGUGGCGAAAGCGCUCUGCUGGGCCAUAACUGACACUCAGGGACGAAAGCUAGGGGAGCGAAUGGG